AUGAGCUCUGUGCCUGAGGGAAUGCCCACCAGGAAGCACUUGAUUUGUGUCCCCACCCCAAGGAUGGGAGGCAGCCGCCCUCGGAGGAUGGUCACACAGCCAGGUGGAGUGCCUCAGGCCCCAGGGCCCACAGAAGACCAAGUCCCCUCAAGCUGUGGCUUAGAUUUCGUCAAGCGACAAGGACAGCCAGUGAACUGCACAGUAGAGGCAGGUGUGCCCAGGGGACAGACAUCCUGAUGGAGUCUUGACCAGGAGAGAUGACUCUGCCAUGGCCCUGCCGUGCCCACACCCUCCGAGGGUUUUGGAUGGUCUGGUUCCCACACAGUCGGCAGGGUGAAGAUGGAAGAUGGCCAACAACGAUGAUGUUCAAGUCUCCUUGGUCUGCUCUUGAAACCCCAUUCUUCCCUUGAGACCACCCAGACAUUGAGUUAGGUUCCCGGGAUGAAGGUGAAUACCUGUGUGUAUCUGGGGGUGGAGGAGGGGAAAUGGUCUGUGUUGCAAGUUGAAUAAUAUUUUAAGUUUUUCUGAACCAACUUCUUACUCAUAGAAAUGUUGUCAUAAUUCGUUUUCCUAAAAUGAGAAAUUUUGUGAUGCAAACUCAUCCUGUUUUUAAACGCUGGGGGCUUGAGAAGCAGGCCCACGGAGGGGCUGGGAAAACCUAGAGCGGUGGAUUCGGCUCCUGAGGUGGUCCUCCAGGUGUGGGCCAGACCCGCACGGACCCCCGCCCCCUCCGGUGGCUUCUGUGUGAAUCCUGCUCGCUGUGACAAGUCCUGCCACAUCCAGCGGAGGCCAGAGUCAGGCCACACCCCUGCGGGUGAAAGAGGGCCAGGACCUCCUGGAGGAAGUAGACAUGACAUGUGAUGGUCACAAGGGCCUCCAGACGCUUCCAAAUGGGGACACUAGUAUGUGAACCAGGGCAGCCGCUGUAAACCUGCUAGAAAGCCAGGCCUCUGGUCUCUUGGCCUCGCUCACCAAGGGUGUGCACAGGCGCCUGCAGCAACCCACCCCCACCCAGGCUCCUUGGUGCCCGAGGAGCGUCCAGUGUAGACCCUUCCACGCCAUCUCCCAGUGAAGUCACAAGUUCAGCCCCAGAGGAAACUGAUGAAGGGUAGAAACUGCUCAUCCUGCAAUCUUAAAAUUGCAGCUAUCCCCACUCCUCACACCCACCAGACCCUAGGAAUUAAUCUUUUUUUUUUUUUCCUUUUUAAUGCAGUAAUUAUUUUGUGACUGGCACAGUUAAAUGCAUUGUAUGUGUGCAGGCGUGACAAACUUGUUAAUUUGUUAAACUGUGAAAUGCUAAAAUAUGCCAAAUUUUUGUAAAUGUUUUGACAUUCCUCAUUUUUAAAAAAUAUAUCAGGUGAUUUAAUUAAAAAGAAAAGAAAGGAACCAGGCUUGGCCUUUUUGAACUUCAAAGAGAUCCUGUCUGGCCUCAGUGGCAACUCCCUUUGAGUGCUUGGGGCGAAGGGGUAAGCGCCCCUCACCCCCAUACCAGAGAAAGACGAAGGCCGUGGAGAGCUGGGCUCCCAGAUCCAGUCACUCCUGCCUCAUUCACUGAGAAAUUAUACACCAUAUAUUGGGUAUACAUACCCAGUUUACCCUGGGACGUUGUAAAUUUUGUCAAUAAAAACUUUUCAG
ensembl:lncRNA